UACGGAGGGUGCGAGCGUUGUCCGGAAUCACUGGGCGUAAAGGGCGCGUAGGUGGCCUGAUGAGUCAACGGUGAAAGCUCGUCGCUUAACGACGAGUCGGCCGUCGAUACUGUCGGGCUGGAGCACUGUAGAGGCAGAUGGAAUUCCGGGUGUAGCGGUGGAAUGCGUAGAGAUCCGGAAGAACACCGGUGGCGAAGGCGGCUCUCUGGAACGCAACUGACGCUGAGACGCGAAAGCGUGGGGAGCAAACAGG
rnacentral:rRNA from 1 species